GUGGGGAAUCUUCCGCAAUGGACGAAAGUCUGACGGAGCAACGCCGCGUGAGUGAUGAAGGUCUUCGGAUUGUAAAGCUCUGUUAAUCGGGACGAAAGAGCCUAGUGUGAAUAAUGCUAGGAAGUGACGGUACCGGAAUAGAAAGCCACGGCUAACUACGUGCCAGCAGCCGCGGUAAUACGUAGGUGGCAAGCGUUGUCCGGAAUUAUUGGGCGUAAAGCGCGCGCAGGCGGAUCUGACAGUCUAUCUUAAAGUUCGGGGCUUAACCCCGUGGUGGGAUGGAAACUACAGAUCUAGAGUAUCGGAGAGGAAAGUGGAAUUCCUAGUGUAGCGGUGAAAUGCGUAGAUAUUAGGAAGAACACCAGUGGCGAAGGCGACUUUCUGGACGAAAACUGACGCUGAGGCGCGAAAGCCAGGGGAGCGAACGGGAUUAGAAACCCGUGUAGUCC
rnacentral:rRNA from 1 species